UAAUACGUAGGGUGCAAGCGUUAAUCGGAAUUAUUGGGCGUAAAGGGUGCGCAGGUGGUUAUAUAAGUCAGAUGUGAAAUCCCUGGGCUUAACCUAGGAAUUGCGUUUGAAACUAUAUAACUAGAGUGUGACAGAGGGGAGUGGAAUUCCAUGUGUAGCAGUGAAAUGCGUAGAGAUGUGGAAGAACACCGAUGGCGAAGGCAGCUCCCUGGGUUAACACUGACACUCAUGCACGAAAGCGUGGGGAGCAAACAGGAUUAGAUACCCUGGUAGUCCACGCCCUAAACGAUGUCAACUAGUUGUCGGAUCUAUAUAAAGAUUAGGUAACGUAGCUAACGCGUGAAGUUGACCGCCUGGGAAGUACGGUCGCAAGAUUAAAACUUAAAUGAAUUGACGG
rnacentral:rRNA from 1 species